rnacentral:snRNA from 1 species
AUCCCAGUGCAAGGGCAGGACACUUACAAGUGAAGGGACUUCCUGAUGUAGUGUAUUUGCUGGUUGAAAACUAAAACCGACCAUGUCGAGCAGGACUCUGUCCGGUUCGCAAUUUUUACGAUGAAAAUGGAAUC